rnacentral:rRNA from 1 species
AACGAACGCUGGCGGCAGGCUUAACACAUGCAAGUCGAGCGCUCGUAGCAAUACGAGAGCGGCAGACGGGAGAGUAACACGUGGGAACGUACCCUUUGGUUCGGAACAACACAGGGAAACUUGUGCUAAUACCGAAUAAGCCCUUACGGGGAAAGAUUUAUCGCCAAAGGAUCGGCCCGCGUCUGAUUAGCUAGUUGGUGGGGUAAUGGCCCACCAAGGCGACGAUCAGUAGCUGGCUGAGAGGAUGACCAGCCUCAUUGGGACUGAGACACGGCCCAAACUCCUACGGGAGGCAGCAGUGGGGGAAUAUUGGACAAUGGGGCGCAAGCCUGAUCCAGCCAUGCCGCGUGAGUGAUGAAGGCCCUAGGGUUGUAAAGCUCUUUUACCCGGGAAGAUAAUGACUGUACCGGGAGAAUAA